rnacentral:misc_RNA from 1 species
AAAUGCGAUAAGUAAUGUGAAUUGCAGAAUUCAGUGAAUCAUCGAAUCUUUGAACGCACCUUGCGCUCCUUGGUAUUCCUUGGAGCAUGCCUGUUUGAGUAUCAUGAAAUCUUCAAAGUAAAUCUUUUGUUAACUCAAUUGGUUUCUACUUUGGUAUUGGAGGUCUUUGCAGCUUCACACCUGCUCCUCUUUGUUCAUUAGCUGGAUCUCAGUGUUAUGCUUGGUUCCACUCGGCGUGAUAAGUUAUCUAUCGCUGAGGAUACUGUAAAAGGUGGCCAAGGUAAAUGCAGAUGAACCGCUUCUAAUAGUCCAUUGACUUGGACAAUACUUUUAUGAUCUGAUCUCAAAUCAGGUAGGACUACCCGCUGAACUUAAGC